rnacentral:rRNA from 1 species
GACGUAGGAGGCGAGCGUUAUCCGGAUUCACUGGGCGUAAAGCGCAAGUAGGCGGUUGCACAAGUCAUGUGUUAAAGCCCCUGGCUCAACUGGGGGAGGUCAUGUGAGACUGUGCGACUUGAGGGCAACAGAGGCAUGUGGAACUCCCGGUGUAGCGGUGGAAUGCGUAGAGAUCGGGAAGAACACCCGUGGCGAAGGCGGCUUUCUGGCCUGUUCUUGACGCUGAGGCGCGAAAGCUAGGGGAGCAAACAGG